UGAGUAACGCGUGGGUAACCUGCCUCACACUGGGCGAUAACAGUUAGAAAUAGCUGCUAAUACCGCAUAAGCGCACGGUUCCGCAUGGAACAGUGUGAAAAACUCCGGUGGUGUGAGAUGGACCCGCGUCUGAUUAGCCAGUUGGCGGGGUAACGGCCCACCAAAGCGACGAUCAGUAGCCGGCCUGAGAGGGUGAACGGCCACAUUGGGACUGAGACACGGCCCAAACUCCUACGGGAGGCAGCAGUGGGGAAUAUUGCACAAUGGGGGAAACCCUGAUGCAGCGACGCCGCGUGAGUGAAGAAGUAUUUCGGUAUGUAAAGCUCUAUCAGCAGGGAAGAAAGUGACGGUACCUGAAUAAGAAGCCCCGGCUAACUACGUGCCAGCAGCCGCGGUAAUACGUAGGGGGCAAGCGUUAUCCGGAUUUACUGGGUGUAAAGGGAGCGUAGACGGCUUUGCAAGUCUGACGUGAAAAUCCGGGGCUCAACCCCGGAACUGCGUUGGAAACUGUGAGGCUUGAGUGCCGGAGAGGUAAGCGGAAUUCCUAGUGUAGCGGUGAAAUGCGUAGAUAUUAGGAGGAACACCAGUGGCGAAGGCGGCUUACUGGACGGCAACUGACGUUGAGGCUCGAAAGCGUGGGGAGCAAACAGGAUUAGAUACCCUGGU
rnacentral:rRNA from 1 species